UGAGGAAUAUUGGACAAUGGGCGCAAGCCUGAUCCAGCCAUGCCGCGUGCAGGAUGACGGUCCUAUGGAUUGUAAACUGCUUUUGCACAGGAAGAAACAACAUUACGUGUAAUGUCUUGACGGUACUGUGAGAAUAAGGAUCGGCUAACUCCGUGCCAGCAGCCGCGGUAAUACGGAGGAUCCAAGCGUUAUCCGGAAUCAUUGGGUUUAAAGGGUCCGUAGGCGGUCUUAUAAGUCAGUGGUGAAAUCUCCCCGCUCAACGGGGAAACGGCCAUUGAUACUGUAGGACUUGAAUUAUAAGGAAGUAACUAGAAUAUGUAGUGUAGCGGUGAAAUGCUUAGAGAUUACAUGGAAUACCAAUUGCGAAGGCAGGUUACUACUUAUGGAUUGACGCUGAUGGACGAAAGCGUGGGUAGCGAACA
rnacentral:rRNA from 1 species